UGGGAGCAUAAGGUGAUCCCUGGAAGUGCAGGAGCUACUUAUCCUGCUCGAAGUCUUGCAGUUAGGAACGGACUAGCCAAGAUUGUUCCAAGUGAGAUGUAACCUC